rnacentral:lncRNA from 1 species
CGUUUUCGGUUUCGGUUUCUCUUUGCUGCUUGCUGUACAGACUACCACCGGCUGGCUGGUUCGCUCUUUAUGCAGCUCAUCAGACGAAAGAGAAGACAGUCAUCAUUAUGCUGCCCAGCAGCAAAGAUGACCUGGAUCAACAGUCAAGUUCUGCUGAAAGCACAACACACAAAUGUGACAGAAAGCGAAGAGAAGUUCAGUGGAGGAAGGUGGAGCUAUUGAGCCAGCAGGUGAACAAGAGCAGGUAUUUUGUCUCACUAACCAGAAAGCUGACUAGAAUACGUCGCCUCCAGGAAAAUGGAGGGCACUGGAAGAGGAUGGCAAAGCAAGAGGUCAUAUAACAAACCACGGCAGAAGUGUUGGGUCCAAAGGAGACUCCAAUUCUCCAAACUCCCAAGGCAGUCCAAAUAUCCAGAAAUGAUCCCAACCUGGACUACAGAAGGAUUUCUGGUGGUUAGAUAAAAGCCAACAUUCCUCAGGAACUUGUGAAGCAGGUUCCGCUCUACCAACAGGUAGAGGUAAGGGAACCUCGGGAAGAAGGGACAAAUGGCUACCCAUGGUGCCUCCUAGCACACCAAAGCACAUGCUGGCCUCUGGGCUUCUUAAGUAUCUCAAGUACCUGUUACACUUCAUUUCAUUUCAAAGUCCAUGCUAGCAUUCUAGCUGUUCUCACCUCCCCCCUACCCCAAACUGCCCCCAGCUCACUGGCUUCCUUCUCUGCAGCUACUCAUCCGCCUUAUAACCCUGAUAUUCCCUAUAUGCCCCCAUCACCACCCUUGUCUCCCUCUCUCUCUGCUCUGUUCCUGCUUCUCUCAUGGCCAGGUCCAGUCUGCUGGAUAUAUUCAGUCUCUUUCUCUCUCUGCUCUGGACUCUUCCAGAUGCCCCUGCCUGUUCUCUCUCUCAUAGUUACAAUAAAGACCUUCCUCCCCCUUAACCGUACCAUGGAACAGCCGUAUCAUCAGUUUAUCCAAGAAGGUGAUGUCUCCUGGUUUUGCUUCUAUUUUGCUGGCCAAAACAAUUCAGGAGGCCUGAAGCCAGUGAGUGGGGUUGGGAAUGUAUGCUGCAUCCUCAGUGAAGCCAUAGAAAAGGCAGGGGUGGAGUGUGGGAGAAUGAGCAGAUUAUAACUAUGCACAGACACACGCAUUUGUUAGCCUCCGAGACUUCAAC